CCUACGGGAGGCAGCAGUAGGGAAUUUUGCGCAAUGGGCGAAAGCCUGACGCAGCAACGCCGCGUGAUCGAGACGCCCUUCGGGGUGUAAAGUUCUGUCAGUGGGGACGAAUUUUGACGGUACCUACAAAGGAAGCACCGGCUAACUCCGUGCCAGCAGCCGCGGUAAUACGGGGGGUGCAAGCGUUGUCCGGAAUCAUUGGGCGUAAAGAGUUCGUAGGCGGCAAGGUAAGUCUGAUGUUAAAGCCCGGGGCUCAACUUCGGUUCGGCAUUGGAUACUAGCGAGCUAGAAUGCGGUAGAGGUAAAGGGAAUUCCUGGUGUAGCGGUGAAAUGCGUAGAUAUCAGGAGGAACAUCGGUGGCGAAAGCGCUUUACUGGACCAUUAUUGACGCUGAGGAACGAAAGCCAGGGUAGCAAAUGGGAUUAGAUACCCGGGUAGUC
rnacentral:rRNA from 1 species